rnacentral:rRNA from 1 species
AGAGUUUGAUCCUGGCUCAGGAUGAACGCUAGCUACAGGCUUAACACAUGCAAGUCGAGGGGCAUCAGGAAGAAAGCUUGCUUUCUUUGCUGGCGACCGGCGCACGGGUGAGUAACACGUAUCCAACCUGCCCUUUACUCGGGGAUAGCCUUUCGAAAGAAAGAUUAAUACCCGAUAGCAUAAUGAUUCCGCAUGGUUUCAUUAUUAAAGGAUUCCGGUAAAGGAUGGGGAUGCGUUCCAUUAGGUUGUUGGUGAGGUAACGGCUCACCAAGCCUUCGAUGGAUAGGGGUUCUGAGAGGAAGGUCCCCCACAUUGGAACUGAGACACGGUCCAAACUCCUACGGGAGGCAGCAGUGAGGAAUAUUGGUCAAUGGGCGCUAGCCUGAACCAGCCAAGUAGCGUGAAGGAUGAAGGCUCUAUGGGUCGUAAACUUCUUUUAUAUAAGAAUAAAGUGCAGUAUGUAUACUGUUUUGUAUGUAUUAUAUGAAUAAGGAUCGGCUAACUCCGUGCCAGCAGCCGCGGUAAUACGGAGGAUCCGAGCGUUAUCCGGAUUUAUUGGGUUUAAAGGGAGCGUAGGUGGACUGGUAAGUCAGUUGUGAAAGUUUGCGGCUCAACCGUAAAAUUGCAGUUGAUACUGUCAGUCUUGAGUACAGUAGAGGUGGGCGGAAUUCGUGGUGUAGCGGUGAAAUGCUUAGAUAUCACGAAGAACUCCGAUUGCGAAGGCAGCUCACUGGACUGCAACUGACACUGAUGCUCGAAAGUGUGGGUAUCAAACAGGAUUAGAUACCCUGGUAGUCCACACAGUAAACGAUGAAUACUCGCUGUUUGCGAUAUACAGUAAGCGGCCAAGCGAAAGCAUUAAGUAUUCCACCUGGGGAGUACGCCGGCAACGGUGAAACUCAAAGGAAUUGACGGGGGCCCGCACAAGCGGAGGAACAUGUGGUUUAAUUCGAUGAUACGCGAGGAACCUUACCCGGGCUUAAAUUGCAGUGGAAUGAUGUGGAAACAUGUCAGUGAGCAAUCACCGCUGUGAAGGUGCUGCAUGGUUGUCGUCAGCUCGUGCCGUGAGGUGUCGGCUUAAGUGCCAUAACGAGCGCAACCCUUAUCUUUAGUUACUAACAGGUUAUGCUGAGGACUCUAGAGAGACUGCCGUCGUAAGAUGUGAGGAAGGUGGGGAUGACGUCAAAUCAGCACGGCCCUUACGUCCGGGGCUACACACGUGUUACAAUGGGGGGUACAGAAGGCAGCUAGCGGGUGACCGUAUGCUAAUCCCAAAAUCCUCUCUCAGUUCGGAUCGAAGUCUGCAACCCGACUUCGUGAAGCUGGAUUCGCUAGUAAUCGCGCAUCAGCCACGGCGCGGUGAAUACGUUCCCGGGCCUUGUACACACCGCCCGUCAAGCCAUGGGAGCCGGGGGUACCUGAAGUACGUAACCGCAAGGAUCGUCCUAGGGUAAAACUGGUGACUGGGGCUAAGUCGUAACAAGGUAACC